rnacentral:rRNA from 1 species
UACGUAGGGGGCAAGCGUUGUCCGGAAUCAUUGGGCGUAAAGCGCGUGUAGGCGGCUUGGUAAGUCUGCUCUGAAAGCCCGGGGCUCAACCCCGGGAGGCGGGUGGAUACUGUCAAGCUCGAGUCCGGAAGAGGAGUGUGGAAUUCCUGGUGUAGCGGUGAAAUGCGCAGAUAUCAGGAAGAACACCAAUGGCGAAAGCAGCUUUCUGGGACGGUACUGACGCUGAGACGCGAAAGCGUGGGGAGCGAACAGG